CCUACGGGAGGCAGCAGUGAGGAAUAUUGGUCAAUGGACGAGAGCCUGAACCAGCCAAGUAGCGUGAAGGAUGACUGCCCUAUGGGUUGUAAACUUCUUUUAUAUGGGAAUAAAAUGCUCUACGUGUGGGACUUUGCAUGUACCUUAUGAAUAAGGAUCGGCUAACUCCGUGCCAGCAGCCGCAGUAAUACGGAGGAUCCGAGCGUUAUCCGGAUUUAUUGGGUUUAAAGGGAGCGUAGGUGGGUUGUUAAGUCAGUUGUGAAAGUUUGCGGCUCAACCGUAAAAUUGCAGUUGAAACUGGCAGUCUUGAGUACAGUAGAGGUAGGCGGAAUUCGUGGUGUAGCGGUGAAAUGCUUAGAUAUCACGAAGAACUCCGAUUGCGAAGGCAGCUCGCUGGACUGCAACUGACGCUGAGGCUCGAAAGUGUGGGUAUCAAACAGGAUUAGAUACCCCGGUAGUC
rnacentral:rRNA from 1 species